rnacentral:rRNA from 1 species
AUAGAGUUUUCCCCUUCGGGGGACAAAGUGACAGGUGGUGCAUGGUUGUCGUCAGCUCGUGUCGUGAGAUGUUGGGUUAAGUCCCGCAACGAGCGCAACCCUUAAGCUUAGUUGCCAUCAUUAAGUUGGGCACUCUAAGUUGACUGCCGGUGACAAACCGGAGGAAGGUGGGGAUGACGUCAAAUCAUCAUGCCCCUUAUGAUUUGGGCUACACACGUGCUACAAUGGACAAUACAAAGGGCAGCUAAACCGCGAGGUCAAGCAAAUCCCAUAAAGUUGUUCUCAGUUCGGAUUGUAGUCUGCAACUCGACUACAUGAAGCUGGAAUCGCUAGUAAUCGUAGAUCAGCAUGCUACGGUGAAUACGUUCCCGGGUCUUGUACACACCGCCCGUCACACCACGAGAGUUUGUAACACCCGAAGCCGGUGGAGUAACCAUUUAUGGAGCUAGCCGUCGAAGGUGGGACAAAUGAUUGGGGUGAAGUCGUAACAAGGUAGCCGUAUCGGAAGGUGCGGCUGGAUCACCUCCUUUCUAAGGA